GAGGUAAUUCUGUCAACACUAUCUCUCUAUGGAUGCUACUGCAGGUAAUGUUUCAAUGCUGCACACCCGCUUGUUAAUGAGACGGAACACAGUAACGCCGCACUAAAGCAUGGUUCUAUUAGAAAGCCAACGAAUACAAAAAGGAAAGUUAUUGUUGCUGACGAAGCUAGUUCUCAUCUAAUAUAGCAGUUGGUGCUUUGCUCUCCCUAAUUCAUGUGAUAUUGCUAGCAAUCCAUCAAACAUUUCCACUUGGGUUAGUGCAUGACAUAACUACCAGGUAGUGUACCGUUUACAGCUGAGUACAAUUUUUUCUCGUGAAGUGCACUAUCUGUCAACGAAUUUUGGUUGUGUGUGUGUUAUAGAUAUGAAACAUAUCACACACACAAACAAUGAAAAUCGACGCGAACUAAUAACAUUCACAAAUUCAGAGUUGCAAUAAUCAAUAUGUUGUUGUUGGGCGACUGCCACUACCUGUAUGAAUAUAUCUUGGAUUAGUGUAUCUAGUCGAAGAAAAACGCAAUCGUUUUCUGGUUGGUGAAAAUUACAAUAAUAAUUUGGAUUGCACGCAGAGAAUGGUUCGUUCAAACCAGGUGUUACUGAAGAGCAAAUAUUGAGUUACGUUGUUAAACGUGCCGAAGUCAAUCAGAGUCAGCUCCUUUGUCGCUUUGCUAAUAUUGAGGAGUUAUCAAGAGUCAGUUUCAAACUUGGCGUAACAACAGUUUUUUUGAAAGCAUCAACAGUCAAAAGAAAGAACAUAAAACCAGUGCGAGCAAAAAACAAUUUGCGGAUAUAUUAUCAAAACUGGUCAGGAAAGCUAACUAAAUCCUCGGAUAUAUUCUUUAAAACUGCCCAAUGUGAAUAUGAAGUGAAAUUUUUAAAAUUUGUAUUUUUGUUUCAAUAUUACGCUCUAAGCAUCCAAAUGGAACA